CUCCUACGGGAGGCAGCAGUAGGGAAUAUUGCGCAAUGGAGGAAACUCUGACGCAGCGACGCCGCGUGGGUGAUGAAGGCUUUCGGGUCGUAAAGCCCUGUCGGAAGGAAGAAAAGCAUUAUGGCUAACAUCCAUAGUGUUUGACGGUACCUUUAAAGGAAGCACCGGCUAACUACGUGCCAGCAGCCGCGGUAAUAC
rnacentral:rRNA from 1 species